AUGUUUACAGAGCAGCUUUUCAAUGGUGCCCCAAAAUAGUUACUACCUACAAAGUAACAAUUGCAUUGUAUUUGCCUUAUGUAAGCUUUUUCUUUUUCUUCUUGGCAGCAAACCAUUAGUCCUCAACAACUUUCAAUGAAAUGAUGACAAGUGGAUUAAAAAGUAUUGUUUACAUUGCUUCAAAGAAAUUAAAACUCCCGGCAAUUAAGCUUUUUUUUUUUUUUUAAGGUAAAACUGUCUUCUUGAAUGGUUACACAAUUUACCCAUAUGAGUUUUCUACCUUCCUGCUGAUCAGGAAGCUGACACAGCAGAAUUGACAACACGGAUCAUUUGUUAGAGCAGGGAUGGAGGAGGGAGAGAGACAGAAAAGGGUUCAGACUUAGAUUGUUCUGUGUACAGUCCGAACCCAAUAAUGGUAAUACACUGCAAUGCACAGUUUUAGAUACAGAGAAAUAAGAGCAUAGAGAAAUUAUGCAGACAGAUGGAGGUGCUAAGAGUCACACUGAUGGCUCACUGGAGAGAAAUUUCCUUCUCGCAAGGCAGUCAGUUUGUACACACAUGCAAAAAUAUCUUAGUAAUCCAUCGCCCUUCACAAACACCCUUCUUAAAAAACAAAUAACAAAAUGGACUUCUUUAGUGGCUCCCUAAUUGUGGCUCCAUCCCUGCUCUAGAAAAAAUUUCUGCGUUUUCAACCAUAGGAUGAAUUCUGGCAUCAUGCAAAUAUUUUGGUGAGUCAUAAUGUGGGUAAAUUUAUUACAAAUUCUAUAAAGAAAUCUAAUUGCACUUAUACUACCUUGUCAUGAGGAGACAAUGCAAUGCUUGCUCACAUAAACGUUCUCUGCUGCUCACUUUCAUUUGCUUUUCGCAUAUCGCAGUAUCCGUAAAUGAAUCUCAUUUCUCAUUUGGGGUAGCUAGUGCCGGUACUAGGAAUACGAUUUGCCUAAUAGACGAUCUGUAAGAUCUUUGGGUGUACUUCCCAGUCUUUGACUAAAAGCAAGGCAAACAGUUGCCUGACUUCUUGAAGACUGGCCUUAGACUGCAGCAGCAAUCUGUAUGUUUAAAAAUGCAAGAGUAAACAUGUUGAUGCAAAGCCAGUCCUCAUCUCCAUAGGCCUUGCAUGCAUGCUUAGACUUAGAGGACCUAAGUGACACGUAACCUUUUGAAACAGGCAAUACUGAUUAUUUGCAUGUUGUGGCAAAGAUACUUCUAAUCAGGCAAAUGGAGGGAAAGGGAAGUAGAGGGCUGUCUAGCUGCAGCAGCAACAAAGGUAUUUAAGCCUGUAUAACCAGCUUUGCAGUCAGUUGGGUUUAUUGCUUGUUUGUUCUUUGCAGCUCUUAGGAGGGAAGAGGUGUGGGUUUGUUUCCGUAGUGAAAAGCCACAGCUUCUCCAUGGAAAGCUUUAUGACUCCUUUUUCAGCCUCUCUUCACCACACCCUCCCUUGAAUUGAUGAAGGUGGAAUAAUGCACACACAUAAAAGCAAGUUGCGUACAUGUUAAUACAUCGCGUGAACAGAGGCUUAUGCACACACAGCAUUAAUAGAUUUUAGGACCUUCCUAAAACAUUAAUUACUAGCAGGCUUGUGUCUGGCAUUGCUUGGAAAUCCUAAGAAAAAAAGAAAAAUCAGUACAAUUUUUAAAGGAUUCAGUCCACCAUCUUGAUUCAACAUGGAAUCCAGUUGUAUCCAAAUAGGUUAAAAACCCUGCUCCUUGAUCUCAGGAACCACCACGUAAAAAAGUGAUUAUGAUAUCUUAAGAGGUGUCCAAAUGGGACUUCCGGGUUGGCGCCAUCGAUAAUGGCGGAUUCCCUCUGAGUCUCUGAGGGACCAGCUCCGCGGGAUCGGGUCUGACCGCUGCGGCGAAGCGGGGACCCUUUCAAAAUCACAGGUGGGUGAAGCCUGUGAACGUGGGGACUCGGCGGGCACCUUUUGCACCCCCCCAAACUGCGAAGGGACCCCUUUAGGGGUUCCGGAGCGAGACGGGGUGAGCGGCGCGGUGCUGAGAGUCGACUGCUUUUUCUGCGGAGUGAAGCCGCACAGCCGUUAUCGGAGAGCGCUGACUUCUUCCUGGGACAAUUCGACCUCUAAAGUAACUACCCGUGAGUAGGAUAAAAUUGGAUUUAAAGGGGAAAAUAAUUUAAUUCGGCACCGAAGCGGGAAGGCAUAAACAGGAAGUCCGCCUUCCUUUCUUGUAAAUAGAUCAAAGCAAAGAGACUGUAAGCAGAAACCUUGAAAGACGCUUGAAAAAAGACUUAAAUCCUAACAUCAGAAAAGCGAUCUCCCCUCCGGAUUGCAGGAGAGGAGGGGGGAAAGGUUUGAACUGUAUCUACCUGCAAAAAAAGAGGGAAAGGAAGCUAAAAUCCACCGCUUAGAGCCUGGGAACGGACUGCCCUGAGACAAGGAAUGCCGCUCUGUGAAAAGCACUAUCGGUAAACAGAGUACCUUUGACAGCUAACUCUGCAAGAGAGAUACAGUGUUUCUGGACUUCUCCUGGCUUUAAAGUAACUGAUUAAGUGCAAUUGAAGUGGUUUUCAGCUGUAAUACUAUAAGGGAAUAUGAAAAAUGGAUUAUUAAUAGGUAAAAAUUUAACGUCACAAUAUUUUAAGAUUAAAGAUUAGGAUAAACAAAGAGGGUAAGGAUUUGCUGAACCAACAAACUGAACUGGAAUACAAAAAAGGGAGGCGUGAGGAGGUCCGGGAAAUAAGCUAAUGAAAAAUAAGUAAUAGAAAGAUUGAGUUGUUUUUAGCCAUUUUUAUUUUUGUACCUUUUUCUUUUUUUGUUUUUGUUUUGUAACAUUUUGAAAAUCUUAAUAAAUAUCUUUAAAAAUAAAUAAAUAAGAGGUGUCCAAAUGCAUAGUGGACCAGUGAAAAAUUUCCCAGAAUAGAUACUAGAUAUAGCUGAAUUAAAAGCUUUGAAUUGAUCUUACUCCCAUCUUCUUAGAGUAGAGUUCCCCUAAUACCUAUAUACACAAUGUUUUUACCAGCAAUAACAACAAAAGAGAGAACGGAGCCAUAGUAUCUCUUCCAUAUGACAAUCUUCUGUGAAUGGUAUAGUAUGCUUAUGCAUAUAAAUCAUUGUGGGAAGUCACGUUUCUUAUCAUCAUCUGAACAUUUGGGAUUGGUUUCUAUCUAUCUCAAUAGACAAUGGAGUGUGCCUCCAUGGGUGAAGUCAAACUGUUGCGUUAGCAGCACUGAAGUGAUCUCUCCAGGGCGCAAGCCUGGGCGGUGUGUAUGAGGUCCUGGGCUGUCCAGAUGACAAGACCCCACCUCUUGGCCUCACUGAUGUGGCCCAAAGGAAAGCAAAGCAAUGUGUUGGGAACCAGCUUGGCUACAGGAGUUGCUAGAAGGAAGUGUUCAAGGCGCCAUCCAACCAUCUUAGGGACUCUGGAUUUGUGUAGGGUUUACUCCUUAGCCAUUUCUUCUCCCACAGAUAUCCCACUAGGCAGCGGAGGUUUAGGAUUAGAGUUUUCCUUCUCCUCCUAGCUACCUUCAGAGGUGGUUAAACCCCAUUUGCCACUCACUCCGCUCUACAAUACAGCAAUCAUCUUCCUGACCAGUGGACCCACUAUUGGUUUUGUCCGCUCAAGCUGUUGGAGACUGUCUUCACAUGCAGGGGAAGUCCCAUACUCACUGAGGGUUUGAGACCCACUGGCUAUCCUCACCUGGUUUAGCCGGCCAGGUGAAGCUCUUCCCAGGGUGUGGCUACUGUCCUAUGCUAACAGCUUCUAGGAGCCACAGGUGAGAGCUGAGUGCAGAGUUGGGACCGAGGGAGGACAAACUACCCCAGAAAGAGCACAUCAUGUCCACUACCAGAAGUACUACUCCACUCCUAUCACCCCAUGCACCCCAUCAUCUGAACAACUGGCUGUGAAUUUCAACAUCACAGGUGCUUGGAAAGUAGUUCAUGCAGAACUAAUAGUAUGAUGAUUUCAUUUUUUGUAGUCACGUAAGGACAUAGCUUUCCUAAUGAUUGGGCUCAAAUGUGCGUGCCAGUAACUCAUGAUGACUUGGCAACUUAUGUUUCCCUGUAAAUAUUGAGUAAUUCUUUCAGCAGUCCUUCUCUCCAAUUCCUGACUCUUUUUUAGCAGUUGAAUGAUGCUAAAAUCACUCAAAAUGCAUCACAGGAAGUAUAGCUUGCAGCGGGCAGCUUCUUAUCCUUGUUAUAUGUCACAGAUAAGAAUAGAGACACAUACAUGUUUGUGUGUGUGUGUGUGUGUUGCUUCUCUUCUCGCCACUCCAGUGUUAGACCAUUCCCUUCCAUAUAGUUGGAGAUUCUCUUUCACCUGCUUGACAGUAAUCUGACUAUAGCUGUUUGCUUUAU
rnacentral:lncRNA from 1 species